GGUUCCACAGCGCAGCGGUUAGCACAUCUGCUUUAUACACAGAAACUCGUGGGUUCGAUCCCCAGUGGAACCA
rnacentral:tRNA from 1 species